UAGACAUGCGCCAGCACUUAUUCACCACUAGAGGACACUGUAUGCACACUUUUCCUGACCAACAAUAAAAGUGCUUUUCUCUCCCGUGCCUUUGCCAAAUAUGUGUGGGGCUAUAAUCCUGCAAAUCAAGCUGUACUGAUAUGAAUGUAUCCGUGUGAAACUGUCCUUCACGAUCUGUCGCACAUGAAGAGCUCACCAAUGGGGUUCAGGCAUGUUGAGGACAGAGUCCUGUGUUCAACGUGACCCUGUGACCCCCUUCAUUCAACCGCUCCUGCGACAGAGAGCAAAUCCUUUAACCC